AGCGACGGUGGCAGCCACCUCCGCAACGGCUCGCAGUCUAUUUUUGACGUCGAAGUAGUAAGGUUGUGUUUGCGGUCCUUUCAGGUUCAGCUUGAGGCCCCCGCCCUCUCGCAACAGCUGUUCUCUCCGCACUGUGCCAGAACAAAACUUCCUUUGGGCCAUCACGUGACCGCAACCACCGGAACGCCUGGAAACAGGCGGCAAUAGAAUUGCAUGCCUCUGGGAAAAUAUUGGUGUGGACACAAUGAGAGACCAGACCUGUUGCUACGCUGUGCCUAGGUCAUUAUGGCUGACCCAUAUAACGGUGUCUAGUCCCUGUCCCGACGCUCCCCAGGGCCGUCAGUGAAAGAGGGAAGGCAAGGUUAAACCAGAUGUGGCUUGGUCGAAGUCGCGAGGGGUACAGUGCUAUUUUCUACGGGUUUCCCUCUCCCCAUUUCGCUGCCGCCAUCCUGGGACAUAUAGAAUGCCAGUUACGUCUCUCAUCUCUUGAUAGAGGGUUAGUUUAUUGUCAUAAAGAGUCAUUCUUGCAGACCAAGGAGAGGUAGUGACUAUGUUUACAUAUGCACAGACAAAGCCAGUCUGCAGCCAAAGCACGCCCGUGCCGGAACAAGCUACGUGUGCGUGAUGUGUACCCCUAGUGCCGUAUCUCACACAGCGCCACUGCAAAGUACCCAGGCUGCACCACUCUUCAUCUGCUUUGAGCGCAGGUGAGGGUCGCUGAGCACCCAUGUUGGUGCACAACGGGACGGACAACACCCUUGGGGGCCCCGCCCUCACCAAGGUGGCACGGGUGAAUGGCGUGUUGGGCGGACCCAUCGUCACCACGACUGCCACCAGCGCUGCCACCACCGCCGCCGCUGCCGUUGCCGCUACGACUGCAACCACCACAGCCGCCGCCGUCGCAGCCCUUCAGCACCACCACGCCGAAGCUAACUUCACCCUCGGGACUCUAUAUAAUGACUCGGGUGGCAGCGGCGGCGGCGGGGGAGGGGUGGGGGAAGCAGGAGUGGCCGUAGGAGGGAGACUAGGUGCGCUAGAAACCGACUUCUCGUGGGCAGAGGGCUACAACGACUCCCUGGCCGCAACCGUGACGGGCUUCCUCAUGGGCAACGUGACGGACGAGGGCAUCGCGGCCGAGAACGUGACGGUGGCCGAAAGAAUUGUCUACUGCAAAGAAUGGACGGGGGCCACGCUCACGCUCUUCCAGGUGGCCAACUUCUUCUGCUUGUUGGCGUUCCUAGUCCCUCACAACUUCCGGCUGUCGGCGCUUGUGAUGCGGGCUGUCCUGAGCGUUGGGAUCCUGCUGUUCGCUCUGUGGGCUGCCCUGGACAUCUGCGCAGCCGACAUCUUCGCCUGGAACUUGAGCUUCCUAGUGGUCAACGCGGGCCACGUCUUGCAUUUGACGUACACCGUCUGGCCGCCUCGGGUUCACCAGGACCUCGCAGAUCUGUACGCCAAGGUCUUCAAACCUCUUAGGGUGAACCGGCAGAACUUCAGCGCGCUGGUGAAGGAGGCGACCCUGAUGAGGCUGGAGGUUGGCGACACGUACGCGGUUGAGGACGCGACGGCGGCCGACGAGCGCCUCUCCAUCCUGCUGUCGGGCAAGCUGAGAGUGAGCUGCGACAACACUCACCUGCACAACAUUCUCCCGACGCAUUUCAUCGACUCGCCCGAGUGGGAGGCGUGCGCUGACGACUCCGAUGAACUCUUUCAGGUGACCAUCUUGGCCGAGGAGCCGAGCGAGUACUUGUGCUGGUCGCGGCCACGCCUGCGUCACGUGCUUCACCUGCGGCCCUUCCUCCGUGCCGUCAUGCACAACCUCAUAGGUAAGGACAUCACCACCAAACUGUACUCGCAGCACGAGCAGCUGGGCGUGGACGGCAGCGGCGAGGCGGCGGGUGCGCGGGGCGGAGCGGGCGGCCUCGGAGCGGAGGACGUCUGGCGGGGCGCAGUGCAACGCUCCAUGAGUGUCGACAACGUCCACACUGGUACUAAGGGCUUCGUCAGGUCCUUAGCAUGGCGCACCUCUCACAGACGCACCUCAGGGCUGUACAGCGAGAGUGUCCGUUCCUCGCCUGGGAGAUCUCGGGGGUCUCACGCCUCCGCCCCGGUGCUCAAGGACGCGCAGUGGGGAGGGGCCCGCCAGCACCCGACCUCGGGCCACCGCCUUCUGCCAACGCACUCGCCAGGCUUAGAAGCACCCUCGGCAGGAGCGACAGGAGGGGCUGCACCGCCGGAGGGGAACGCAGAAGGGACUCGCGGCGGAGGGAAGCAGCGCACCUCCCGGGAGAACGUGGUGAGGUGCGUGGCGGCUCAGGGCACCCCCCAGGUCCUCUCCGCCGACGCUCUCGACGACCCCGACCUUCUGGAGACUUCCGUCUGACCUCCUGCCUGCCUGCCUCUCUGUCUGCCUGCUUGGUGCCUGCCUAUCUGCCUGCCUGCCUGCCCAACAGCCAUCGUUGCCCCAGUAGCCAGCAGAAGCAGGUGUCCCGGUUGAGGCUGGUAGUGAAUGGUAGCCUGGUAGUGUCGGGCCUCUGCAUGUGGUCGCAAGGGCGUGUCCAGCCUCGCCUCGCCCUGGAGCUGCUUCCUCUGGUGGUCUUCCAUGCAGGGAGCUUAUCCUGUGCCUCCGCCGGUUCUUGGGCGUGCCAGAUUCGUGAGGCCGUGACCCGCCGCACCCGCACCCACUUCAUUUGUUGCUCUACCCGGAGACUGUGAGAUCCCACCGCUGCCACCAGCUUGCAGCGCAGGUGGCAUCUUCGAUACUUGGAUGUCCCUCUCCUUUCCCUCUCCCCCUCCCUUUGCUAGUAUCACCUACUCGUUUGAAAAUGGACUAGAUAUGUGCUAUGCCUUUUCUCUCCUCUCUUCCUUUCCCCCUUCUCUUUGUCUCUCUCUGUCUCUCUCUCUUUCUUUCUCUCUCUCUCUCUCUUUCUCUCUCUCUCUCUCUCUUUAUAUAUAUAC
rnacentral:misc_RNA from 1 species